CGGGUGAGUAACACGUAUCCAACCUGCCGUCUACUCUUGGCCAGCCUUCUGAAAGGAAGAUUAAUCCAGGAUGGCAUCAUGAGUUCACAUGUCCGCAUGAUUAAAGGUAUUUUCCGGUAGACGAUGGGGAUGCGUUCCAUUAGGUUGUUGGUGAGGUAACGGCUCACCAAGCCUUCGAUGGAUAGGGGUUCUGAGAGGAAGGUCCCCCACAUUGGAACUGAGACACGGUCCAA
rnacentral:rRNA from 1 species